rnacentral:snRNA from 1 species
AGCCGUCUGCAUUUCUAACUAU